GUCUUUAGCUAAGGAAGGUAAUCAAGCCCACGCUAACAGGAUUUGCCAGCCUAAGAAUGGCAUUUGCUCUUUUCAGAUUAGUUAUUUCUGUACAACGGAUUAGCUUUCUUUAGAGACACAAAUUAGGAUUACUUUACACUUAGUAUCAGUGACACUGUGCGUGUGUGUGUCUGUGUCUCGGCCUGUGUGUGCUUGUCUGUAUAUGUGUGUGCGCAUUUGGCUCAGUGCAGCAAAGAGCAGCAGUGAUAUCAGGCAAACCUUGCAUGGAAGGGAUUACACCAGGCCGUGUGAUGAUUAUUCUCUGAGACAGAUUUUAGAGUGACAAGACCAGGGGGCAUCAUGUAAUACUGCCAAUAAAAGCAUGCUAAAACACAGUGUGUGCAAUUCAACCUCCUUAGAUGGUCGUAGGAUUAGCAGAGUUAUGUCUAUUUGCAAGAAAAUAUAGGUGUAACCCUGUUAAAAUAAUCAUCCUGUAGCUGAGCCAUUCUGUAGAGUCAGCCGACCCCUCCCACCUUUCUCUCUUUCCCCUCUCCCCACCCUCCUACCUUCACUCUCUACCUUGUACUCUCCCAGAGUGAGUGUGUUUAGAGCAGGUGCUGAGUCGUCAUUUUCGGGUGCUGAUUUACAGUUAAAAACGCUGUUAAAUCUUCUAAAAGAGACCUAAAAUACUUUGUUUCUGUUCUGUUGGUGUAUAUGAGCCACAAGUUGGAUAAACCCUCGUCUGUCUGUUCUAUUUUGUGGAGAAACUUCGGUUGUUUUAAUUGAUGGGAAAAACGCGCGAACUUUUUUAGUCCAAGAUGGCGAGCCAACCCAAGACUACAUGUCCCAGAAUACUGUGCGAGUGACGUCAGCAGCGUGAGCACGCAAACUGCACCGCUGAGAGAGAGAGAGUCAGACCACAGAUAAGAGGAGCCAAGCACUUGAUACACACGCACACAAUCACUAGUCUACCCGGGUAGUGAAGAUCUAAAUACACAUUUCACACACUUUGGGACAAAAUUACACACACAAAGGGAAAAGAAGAGGAAGCCUGACAGAACAUCGUUUAAACUUAAAGACUGUAACUAAAAGAACAACUUGAUAUUUAUUUUUCCUUUGUAUUACUGAAACUGGCCAUUUUGUGUUUUUUUCCUUAAUUGUUUAUUUUCUAUUUUUAACUGAUCAGAGCCCCAUUGAACUAUUUUUCUUAUUUUCAUACCCCCCUUCUGCUACUCUAAAACAUUUUAUUUGUUUAUUUUAUCAAAUACACCUACACUUACACAGUAACAACAAAUCAUUUGUUAAUAAAUCUAAAUUGUUCAUUUUUACCCUGUA